rnacentral:rRNA from 1 species
UACGUAGGUGACAAGCGUUAUCCGGAAUUACUGGGCGUAAAGCGUGCGCAGGCGGUUUUGUAAGCCAGAUGUGAAAUCCCCGGGCUUAACCUGGGAAUGGCAUUUGGGACUGCAAGGCUUGAGUGCGGCAGAGGAGACUGGAAUUCCCGGUGUAGCAGUGAAAUGCGUAGAUAUCGGGAGGAAUACCGAUGGCGAAGGCAGGUCUCUGGGCUGACACUGACGCUCAUGCACGAAAGCGUGGGGAGCAAACAGG